CUGUGAAAUACAGGUGAGAGUUGUAGAGUACAGGUAAGUCCUGUGAAAUACAGGUACAAAUUGUGGAGUACAGGUAAGUCCUGUGAAAUACAGGUAUGAGUUGUAGAGUACAGGUAAGUCCUGUGAAAUACAGGUAUGAGUUGUGGAGUACAGGUAAGUCCUGUGAAAUACAGGUACAAAUUGUGGAGUACAGGUAAGUCCUGUGAAAUACAGGUAUGAGUUGUAGAGUACAGGUAAGUCCUGUGAAAUACAGGUACAAAUUGUGGAGUACAGGUAAGUCCUGUGAAAUACAGGUAUGAGUUGUAGAGUACAGGUAAGUCCUGUGAAAUACAGGUAUGAGUUGUAGAGUACA